CCUACGGGUGGCUGCAGUGGGGAAUAUUGGACAAUGGGGGCAACCCUGAUCCAGCCAUGCCGCGUGUGUGAAGAAGGCCCUCGGGUUGUAAAGCACUUUCAGUGAGGAAGAACGCCUGGUGGUUAAUACCCAUCAGGAAAGACAUCACUCACAGAAGAAGCACCGGCUAACUCCGUGCCAGCAGCCGCGGUAAUACGGAGGGUGCGAGCGUUAAUCGGAAUUACUGGGAGUAAAGCGCGCGUAGGUGGCUUGAUAAGCCGGUUGUGAAAGCCCCGGGCUCAACCGGGGAACGGCAUCCGGAACUGUCAAGCUAGAGUGCAGGAGAGGAAGGUAGAAUUCCCGGUGUAGCGGUGAAAGGCGUAGAGAUCGGGAGGAAUACCAGUGGCGAAGGCGGCCUUCUGGACUGACACUGACACUGAGGUGCGAAAGCGUGGGUAGCAAACAGGAUUAGAUACCCCGGUAGUC
rnacentral:rRNA from 1 species